rnacentral:lncRNA from 1 species
AGGCGUUUGCGGCCCAGCGCCUGGACUGGACCUUGGCGUUGGGCCGCAGUUGCCCGGAGUUUUUGGGGCCCCCGGGAACCCGCGCGCCGAGGCCGGCUAAGUUUGGCAGACUCUCUGAGCUCUCGGAAUUCGACUGCCUCCAUUGUUGCUCCUUCUGGCACCCACAGACCGUAACGUGGCCGUCGGAACCGCGCACCACAGCUUGAAGCUAGGAAUUAAAAUAUCGGUGGGAAUUAAAUAAGUGGCUGGCUUAAAGAACAUCUUCUUAAUUUAUCCCCAAAUGUAGACAUCUCUUCAGUGGACCCCCUGAUAGGCCGGUUUGCUCCAGAAGAGACGGGGUUUCACCAUGUUGGCCAUGAUGGUCUCGAUUUCUGACCUUGUCAUCCGUCCGCCUUGGCCUCCCAAAGUGCUGGGAUUACGGGCGUGAGCCACCGUACCCAGCCUGCUUCCUGUUUUAACAGACGAAGAAAUGGAAUAACUUCCAACAACACAGGUUGGAGCUGAAGGAGUGCCCAGGCUGCGGAUGGAGGAAGGACGUGCUCGGGAGAAGGUGAAGAUGGGAGAGAAGCAAGAUCUUCUGUGUUUGGACCAAGGACACAUUUCCUUACUCCAUAGCAGCUGUGGUCAGUGGCUUAGCUCGGACAAGGAGAUGAGAGCCCAUGUGUUGUGAGGGUUCUUCUGGGAACUCUGAGAAGGCAGGAGCCGCCCCCGCCCUUCACUGCCUCUCUUCCAUUCUGCAGCAUGGAAUAUGGAUGUGUGGUCUGGAUGUACAGACACCAUUUUGGACCAUAAAGACAAGGACGAUUGUCUAAGGAUGACACAGCCAGAGCACUGAGAGUGGCGAGAAGGACAGGGGAGCUGCUGUGCCAAGCAGGACUGUCUCUC